rnacentral:tRNA from 1 species
AUUUUGGUAGCUCACAUCUCUAGAGCAUAGCAUUGAAGCUGCUAAGGUGGGCCUAAGCCCCUGAAAUA